AGUCUAUGCCAUUUUUAGGAGUAACAACAUGGAUGAAAUCCCAGAUUUUUUGGAGUUUGAGUGUUGGUAUUUUAAAUGAAAAAGUCUGGAUGAGAUAGUCAUUUAAGACUGUGAAUCUUAAAGAGAUUCACCUAUAAUCACACCAGAAGAAAUUAAUUCAGUGACAUGACAACACCUUCAUAAAUUUUAGUGUCUCUCUGCUCCCUUUUGUAGAUUUCAUCAUCACAACUUGAAGAAUUCAAGAGUUCUACAAGAAUAAGAAAAUAGCUGGGAAGGAAAUUUGGGAGAAAAAUGAAACUCAUUACCCAAAUGCAAGAUUCUUUUAAAAUUAAUUAUUGGCAUCAUUGUUGAAUGGAAGAGGGGAAAAUUCUCCUUAUUGGUCAGGAUGUGACAGGAGAAAAUCCAGACACAUAUCCAAGAGAUAAUUUCUUUGCUGGAGUGCUGACUAUGUUUACAGAAGCAAAUGUCAAGGAGGAUCUUUCUUUGCAUCAUCCAUCUUGACAAGAGCAUCAAAGUGAGUAUCAUUAUUCCUUUAUACAAGCUUAAAAGUUAAACUGAUUAGAUUUGACCAAACUAAAUUUACACAUUUAAUUUUGGACAGAAUUAAUCAUGAAAAUCUAUGAAAGGAAUUUUACAUAAAAACAGUUCUUGGAAACAUUCCCCAUGAAUUAAAAAUCAAUAACUAUUCAUUUGCUUAUCUUAGGGUCACAGGAACUUAGCUUUAGAGCUGAAAGGGCUCUCAGAGUCCAUAUGGUUAAAACUUCUCAUUUUGUAGCUGAAGAAACUAAAGUUCUCUCAAAAUUAAAUGACUUACCUACCAUUACGUGAAAUGUAGCAGAGGUGGGGUUUGAACCCAGGUCUCCUGAUACUCCAGAUACAAUUCUUUAUGUUGUCUCCUAAAGGGACAUUCUUGGUAAUUCCAAAUAGCUGACGAUAUUACAAAGGUAGCAUCUAAUAAUAUCAUUCACUCAACAAAGCAUGUUUUUAUUAAUCCAUUUUACAACACAAUCAUUUUUGGGAGAAAAAGGAACUUCUUCCUGUUUUUGUGAUUUAGAAAACAAUUUUUCAG
rnacentral:lncRNA from 1 species